UUGUAAUUUGGAGAAGGUGUUUCGGAAGAGAUGAUGGUCCAAGUCCCUUGGAACAGGGCGUCGCAGAGGGUGAGAAUCCCGUAUGUGACCAAUCAUCGAUUCCAUGUGAAACCCUUUCGACGAGUCGAGUUGUUUGGGAAUGCAGCUCUAAAUGGGUGGUAAAUUUCAUCUAAAGCUAAAUACCUGCCAGAGACCGAUAGCGCACAAGUAGAGUGAUCGAAAGAUGAAAAGCACUUUGAAAAGAGAGUCAAACAGUACGUGAAAUUGUUGAAAGGGAAGCACUUGCAAUCAGACUCGUUUGCAGAAGUUCAGCCUUCUUUCGAGAUGGUGUAUUCUUCUGUCAACGGGCCAGCAUCAGUUUCGGCGGUUGGAUAAAGACUUUGAGAACGUAUCUCUCCUCUGAGAGUGUUAUAGCUCGGAGUGUAAUGCAGCAGCUGAGACUGAGGUCCGCGCUUU
rnacentral:rRNA from 1 species